GCCAACGGCCAUACCACGUUGAACACACCAGUUCUCGUCCGAUCACUGAAGUUAAGCAACGUCGGGCCCGGUUAGUACUUGGAUGGGUGACCGCCUGGGAACCCGGGUGCUGUUGGUA
rnacentral:rRNA from 1 species